rnacentral:tRNA from 1 species
CAUUAGGAAGCUUGCAAAUAGCACUAGACUUUUAAACUAGAAAAGGGACACCCCUCUCCCCCAAAUGA